ACAGUCUGGGUGACCUGCGAAGGGGAACAUCCACUUGACCAGGAGAACAUUGGGGAGAUAAGAUACAUCCCUAAACAAGGUUUUCCGGGAUACUUCUACCCUUAUGUCAACACUGAAGGAUAUCUCAGCCCUCUGGUGGCAAUACAGUUCAUCAGACCUAAGACUGGUGUCAUUAUAAACGUAGAAUGCAAAGCCUGGGCAAGAAACCUUAUACACGACAGAAAAGAGAAAAUUGGAGUUGUACAUUUUGAAGUUUUGAUAGAUUAGGUUUUGAUUACUUAAUGUAGUAUUUCAAUAAAAAACUGUGUUCACUUUU